GACGAACGCUGGCGGCGUGCCUAAUACAUGCAAGUCGAACGCUGAAGGAGGAGCUUGCUUCUCUGGAUGAGUUGCGAACGGGUGAGUAACGCGUAGGUAACCUGCCUGGUAGCGGGGGAUAACUAUUGGAAACGAUAGCUAAUACCGCAUAAGAGUAGAUGUUGCAUGACAUUUGCUUAAAAGGUGCAAUUGCAUCACUACCAGAUGGACCUGCGUUGUAUUAGCUAGUUGGUGGGGUAACGGCUCACCAAGGCGACGAUACAUAGCCGACCUGAGAGGGGGAUCGGCCACACUGGGACUGAGACACGGCCCAGACUCCUACGGGAGGCAGCAGUAGGGAAUCUUCGGCAAUGGACGGAAGUCUGACCGAGCAACGCCGCGUGAGUGAAGAAGGUUUUCGGAUCGUAAAGCUCUGUUGUAAGAGAAGAACGAGUGUGAGAGUGGAAAGUUCACACUGUGACGGUAUCUUACCAGAAAGGGACGGCUAACUACGUG
rnacentral:rRNA from 1 species